rfam:Schistosoma haematobium scaffold246_25, whole genome shotgun sequence.
ACCAGCUGACGUAUCCUAAACAAGACGAAACGCGCGUCUAACUGGAU